GUAGGUGGCAAGCGUUAUCCGGAUUUAUUGGGCGUAAAGAGCGUGUAGGCGGUUUGUUAAGUCUGUUGUGAAAGCCCUGGGCUCAACCCAGGAAGUGCACUGGAUACUGGCAGACUUGAAUACGGGAGAGGGUAGUGGAAUUCCUAGUGUAGGAGUGAAAUCCGUAGAUAUUAGGAGGAACACCGGUGGCGAAGGCGGCUACCUGGACCGAUAUUGACGCUGAGACGCGAAAGCGUGGGUAGCAAACAGGAUUAGAUACCCUGGUAGUCCACGCCGUAAACGAUGAGAACUAGGUGUUGCGGGUAUUGACCCCUGCAGUGCCGCAGCUAACGCAUUAAGUUCUCCGCCUGGGGAGUACGGUCGCAAGACUA
rnacentral:rRNA from 1 species